UUUGCUCUUUAAAAAUCUGGAUCAAGCUGAAAAUUGAAACACAGAACAACGAAAGUUGUUCGUGAGUUUCUCAAAUUUUCGCAACACGAUGAUGAAUCGUAAGAAACAUCUUCGGGUUGUGAGGUUAAGCGACUAAGCGUACACGGUGGAUGCCCUGGCAGUCAGAGGCGAUGAAGGACGUGCUAAUCUGCGAUAAGCGCCGGUAAGGUGAUAUGAACCGUUAUAACCGGCGAUUUCCGAAUGGGGAAACCCAGUGUGAUUCGUCACACUAUCAUUAACUGAAUCCAUAGGUUAAUGAGGCGAACCGGGGGAACUGAAACAUCUAAGUACCCCGAGGAAAAGAAAUCAACCGAGAUUCCCCCAGUAGCGGCGAGCGAACGGGGAGGAGCCCAGAGCCUGAAUCAGCAUGUGUGUUAGUGGAAGCGUCUGGAAAGGCGCGCGAUACAGGGUGACAGCCCCGUACACAAAAGCGCAUGUGCUGUGAGCUCGAUGAGUAGGGCGGGACACGUGGUAUCCUGUCUGAAUAUGGGGGGACCAUCCUCCAAGGCUAAAUACUCCUGACUGACCGAUAGUGAACCAGUACCGUGAGGGAAAGGCGAAAAGAACCCCGGCGAGGGGAGUGAAAAAGAACCUGAAACCGUGUACGUACAAGCAGUGGGAGCACAGGUUUACCUGUGUGACUGCGUACCUUUUGUAUAAUGGGUCAGCGACUUAUAUUCUGUAGCAAGGUUAACCGUAUAGGGGAGCCGGAGGGAAACCGAGUCUUAACCGGGCGUUAAGUUGCA
rnacentral:rRNA from 1 species